UGAGUUUGAUCCUGGCUCAGGAUGAACGCUGGCGGCGUGCCUAACACAUGCAAGUCGAACGGGGUAUAUAAGCGGAAGUUUACGGAUGGAAGGUUAUAUACUUAGUGGCGGACGGGUGAGUAACGCGUGGGCAACCUGCCCCGUGCCGGGGGAUACCGCCUGGAAACAGGCGCUAAUACCGCAUAAGCGCAUACAGCCGCAUGGGUGUAUGCGGAAAGCUCCGGCGGCACGGGAUGGGCCCGCGCCCGAUUAGCCAGUUGGCGGGGUAACGGCCCACCAAAGCGACGAUCGGUAGCCGGCCUGAGAGGGCGGACGGCCACAUUGGGACUGAGACACGGUCCAAACUCCUACGGGAGGCAGCAGUGGGGAAUAUUGCACAAUGGGGGAAACCCUGAUGCAGCAACGCCGCGUGGGUGAAGGAGCGUUUCGGCGCGUAAAGCCCUGUCAGCGGGGAAGAAAAACCGGCCUUAGGGCCGCCAGACGGUACCUGACCAAGAAGCCCCGGCUAACUACGUGCCAGCAGCCGCGGUAAUACGUAGGGGGCAAGCGUUAUCCGGAUUUACUGGGUGUAAAGGGAGCGUAGACGGCAGCGCAAGUCUGGAGUGAAAUGCCGGGGCCCAACCCCGGAACUGCUU
rnacentral:rRNA from 1 species